UCGCUCCUACCGAUUGAGUGAUCCGGUGAAUUAUUCGGACUGCGAUAUGGGAAGUUUUCCUAUGUUGCGGAAAGUUUUGUAAACCUUAUCACUUAGAGGAAGGAG
rnacentral:rRNA from 1 species